GCCUUGUGGGCAACAGGAGGAAAGUGACAUUUGUCAGCCGGCAGCACCCUAUGCUGGCAGAGGGAGAAAUCUGAGCUUCCGCAGCGUGGGGCAGUAUUUGCCCAAAGUCUCCCACUUCGGGUUGCAUGUCUCUGGUGUCCCGGGGAAGGCGCCCAGCCCACCUCUCCCUUCUCAGAGCCCCAAGGAUUGGUGAGAAACCCCCUGUACCACCCACAGGACGCACAGAUGAAGACACUGAGGUUCAGAGAGACUAAGUGUGCCAGUAAGAGGACAAUCAAGACAAUCGAUCUCUAGAGCCCAUGCCUCCUGUCCUCAAAUCCAGGACUCUUUCCCCCUCCUCUGCAGACUCCUGAUCCUGCCUGUGGACUGUGAACAUCCAUGAGCCAUGCUAUCACGUGACUCUAAGAUUUCGGGGAAGGGAAAUGACGUCUGUUCGAAACAUAAACUACUAGGCUCUGUAACGGACUGAGUUAUAUCCCUCCAGAAUUCAUAUGUUGGAGCCCUAACCCCCAGUAUCUCAGAAUGUGAUUAUUUGGUGGUAAGGUCUUUGAAGAGGUGAUUAAUGAAAACGGGCUCUUAGAGGGGCCCUAGUUCAAUAUAACUGGUGUCUUUAUAGUAAGAGGAGGUUGGGACACAGACAACACAGAGGAAAAGACCAUGUGAGGACACAGCAAGAAAGCAGCCAUCUGCAAGCCAAGCAGAGAUGCCUUAAAAGAAUACGAUGACCUUGAAUUUUGAAACACCUGCCAAUAUCCUGAUCUUGAACUUCCAGUCUCCAAAACUGUAAGAAAAUAAAUUUCUGCUGUUUAA